GGGCCCGUGGCUUAGCCUGGACAAAGGGGAAGUAGAGCACUCGGCUGAUAACCGAGGCAAGGCGGGAAGGGUCGUGGGUUCAAGUCCCACCGGGCCCA
rnacentral:tRNA from 1 species